CCCUUAGACGUUCUGGGCCGCACGCGCGCUACACUGACACAGGCAACGAGCUUUCCUUUACCGAAAGGUAUGGGUAAUCUUUUGAAACUGUGUCGUGCUGGGGAUAGAUCCUUGCAAUUUUUGAUCUUACACGAGGAAUUCCUAGUAAGCGCGAGUCAUCAACUCGCGUUGAUUACGUCCCUGCCCUUUGUACACACCGCCCGUCGCUACUACCGAUUGAAUGGCUUAGUGAGGCCUCAGGAUCCGCGCUUAAUGUGUGGAGAAUUUGGACAAACUACGUCAUUUAGAGGAAGUAAAAGUCGUAACA
rnacentral:rRNA from 1 species